GUAGGGGCCAAGCGUUAUCCGGAUUUAUUGGGCGUAAAGAGCUCGUAGGCGGCUUGGCAAGUCGGUCGUGAAAGUCCGAGGCUCAACCUCGGAAUGCCGGUCGAAACUGCCAUGGCUAGGGUUCGGUAGAGGAGAGUGGAAUUCUCGGUGUAGCGGUGAAAUGCGCAGAUAUCGAGAGGAACACCAGUAGCGAAGGCGGCUCUCUGGGCCGAUACCGACGCUGAGGAGCGAAAGCGUGGGGAGCAAACAGGGAUUAGAUACCCUGGUAGUCCACGCCGUAAACGGUGAUCACUAGGUGUGGCGGACUCAUUGACGUCUGCUGUGCCGGCGCUAACGCAUUAAGUGAUCCGCCUGGGUAGUACGGCCGCAAGGCUA
rnacentral:rRNA from 1 species